rnacentral:ribozyme from 1 species
CUGGUCGGGCUCUGCGGCUUUGGAGCUCACUGGUUCCAGGCAGCGGGGAUGAAGUUCGAGAGGGCCGGCCUUGUCGCUUUUGUGCGGAGAAGCGACGUGAUUUGGGCCUUCAUAUUUCAG